UGGUGGUCACUACCCCCUCACACUCCACUUUAGUGAGGACUACCCAAGCAAGCCUCCCAAGUGCAGAUUUCCACAAGGUUUCUUCCAUCCAAAUGUUUACCCCUCCGGUACUGUUUGCCUUUCAAUUCUCAACGAGGAUAGUGGUUGGAGACCUGCCAUCACUGUGAAACAAAUUCUUGUGGGGAUACAGGAUUUACUUGAUCAGCCAAAUCCUUCUGAUCCUG